rnacentral:rRNA from 1 species
GCAUCGAUGAAGAACGCAGCGAAGUGCGAUACGUAAUGCGAAUUGCAGAAUUCAGCGAGUCAUCGAAUCUUUGAACGCACAUUGCGCCCGCCAGCAUUCUGGCGGGCAUGCCUGUCCGAGCGUCAUUU